rnacentral:rRNA from 1 species
UACAGAGGUCCCGAGCGUUGUUCGGAUUCAUUGGGCGUAAAGGGUGCGUAGGCGGCGCGGUAAGUCGGGUGUGAAAUCUCGGAGCUUAACUCCGAAACUGCAUUCGAUACUGCCGUGCUUGAGGACUGGAGAGGAGACUGGAAUUUACGGUGUAGCGGUGAAAUGCGUAGAUAUCGUAAGGAAGACCAGUGGCGAAGGCGGGUCUCUGGGCAGUAACUGACGCUGAGGAGCGAAAGCGUGGGGAGCGAACAGG